AUAAGACUUAAGUUACAAGUCCAUGUCCUGUCAAUGGUUUUUAUUAUUCUUUCUUAUUGUGGAAACAGGAACGGCUUUUCCAAUUUCUCAUUCAGUUAAAAUUAGAUAAAACUUAAUUGGUUUUCAACAUUGACAUUUUCAAGAUAUUCUCUAUAAUUGAGGAGAUUUUAUUUACUGGCAGCCUUUGUUCUACAACUACGCCCCCCUGUCAAUGUCAUCCAAGUACCAAAACAUCCUUUUCGUACUGUAGUUAUUUCG